rnacentral:rRNA from 1 species
UGGGCGAAAGCCUGAUCCAGCCAUGCCGCGUGUGUGAAGAAGGUCUUCGGAUUGUAAAGCACUUUAAGUUGGGAGGAAGGGCAGUUAAUUAAUACUUUGCUGUUUUGACGUUACCGACAGAAUAAGCACCGGCUAACUNCGUGCCAGCAGCCGCGGUAAUACGGAGGGUGCAAGCGUUAAUCGGAAUUACUGGGCGUAAAGCGCGCGUAGGUGGUUNGUUAAGUUGGAUGUGAAAUCCCCGGGCUCAACCUGGGAACUGCAUUCNAAACUGNCGAGCUAGAGUAUGGUAGAGGGUGGUGGAAUUUCCUGUGUAGCGGUGAAAUGCGUAGAUAUAGGAAGGAACACCAGUGGCGAAGGCGACC